rnacentral:rRNA from 1 species
AUGGCGCAGGCGCUCGCACCGCCGCCGCCGGAGCCGCUCACGGCAGGGCGGUGGGCGGGCACGCUUCUGGCCGCCGCCAUCUACGCGUCACGAGUCUACUACGUGCAGGGCUUCUACAUCGUCUCCUACGGCCUCGACAUGUACCUCCUCAACCUCCUCAUCGGCUUCCUCUCCCCCAUGGUUGACCUGGAGCUCGAGGCGCUCGACCAGGCUGGCCCCGCGCUCCCCACCCGCGGCAACAACGAGUUCAAGCCCUUCAUCCGCCGCCUCCCCGAGUUCAG